rnacentral:miRNA from 1 species
AUGAGAUGGAUCCAAAGGAUCCGAUGGAUUAAUAGAUAUCUAUUAAUCCAUCGCAUCCAUUGGAUCCUUUUAAAAAAGGAUCUAUUUAUCCAUCGAAUCCUUUGGAUCCAUC